GCUUAAAGAGACCGCCCGGUUCCUUCUUGGAGGGAAGCGGAGGAAGGAGGAGCUGCGUGGUGGGGCUGGGGGCGAGGACUCCGGCGCGCAGUGCUCCCAGCGCGCGCUGGAGGGCUUCCCCUGUACAGAGAGCGAUCUCAGCCGCACCCUGCUUUCAAGAAAGUUAUUUAACAGGAUCAUAGCGCUAAGCCAACUUGGCCGUAGUCCACGGAGGAAAGCAGCCUUCGCUUUUGAACUUCCAGGGAGUUGGGAGAGAAUGUAAACACAGAGAAAAGGAAGAAAACAGGUCCUGACCCCACAGACGCUCUUCCUCGUCUGCGGAAGGGAAAACUGAAUCACAGCCACCAAGUCACAGCGCAGAGGCGAUGCUUACAUCUGAGCGAACUCUGAGCAUAUGUGUUUGCAUAAUCAGGGUAGGAAGGUUGCAAGAUAAAUUUAAAAACAAGAUAA